rnacentral:rRNA from 1 species
AUUGAACGCUGGCGGUAUGCUUAACACAUGCAAGUCGAACGAGUGGCGGACGGGUGAGUAAUGCAUAGGAAUCUACCUUUUAGUCUAGGAUAACUACCCGAAAGGGUGGCUAAUAAUGGUUGCUAAGAGAUGCGCAUAUGUGGGAUUAGCUAGUUGGGGGGGUAAAGGCUAACCUAGGCGACGAUCUCUAGCUGGUCUGAGAGGAUGAGCAGCCACACUGGGACUGAGACACGGCCUAGAAGCCGACGGGAGGCAGCAGUGGGGAAUAUUGCACAAUGGGCGCAAGCCUGAUGCAGCCAUGCCGCGUGUAUGAAGAAGGCCUUAGGGUUGUAAAGUACUUUCAGCGGGGAGGCGUUACCCGCAGAAGAAGCACCGGCUAACUCCGUGCCAGCAGCCGCGGUAAUAC